rnacentral:rRNA from 1 species
AUUGAACGCUGGCGGCAUGCCUUACACAUGCAAGUCGAACGGCAGCACGGGAGCAAUCCUGGUGGCGAGUGGCGAACGGGUGAGUAAUGUAUCGGAACGUACCUUCAGUGGGGAUAACGUAGCGAAAGUUACGCUAAUACCGCAUAUUCUGUGAGCAGGAAAGCAGGGGAUCGCAAGACCUUGCGCUGAUUGAGCGGCCGAUAUCAGAUUAGCUAGUUGGUGAGGUAAAGGCUCACCAAGGCGACGAUCUGUAGCGGGUCUGAGAGGAUGAUCCGCCACACUGGAACUGAGACACGGUCCAGACUCCUACGGGAGGCAGCAGUGGGGAAUUUUGGACAAUGGGCGCAAGCCUGAUCCAGCCAUGCCGCGUGAGUGAAGAAGGCCUUCGGGUUGUAAAGCUCUUUCAGCCGGGAAGAAAACGCAUGGGUUAAUACCCUGUGUGGAUGACGGUACCGGAAUAAGAAGCACCGGCUAACUACGUG